rnacentral:lncRNA from 1 species
GAUUAAAGAACAACGCGCAACCAGCGCCAUACGGCGCUCCUCAGGGUGACUCGGCUCUCUAGCUCUUAAGGGUUAGAAGCGACCCUCGCACGGUCCCCGGUGGGUCACCGCGCGAGGGCGGGGCAGUCCAGGCGACCCCUCGGCCGUCUCCCGUCCUACGGCUGUCAGGGAAGGGCUCCGGUUCCGGUAGGGUCUGCAUUUGGAAAGCCGGGGGCGAUGCAAGACCGCCUUGGCGUCGUCUCCCUCUCAGCCCCGGCUGAGCUGUCGGAUGGUCCCCCUCCCCCGGUUGCAAGCAGUAGGAGACCCGGCCGGCGGCGCCGGCUCGCCGAGGGAGCGCCUCGACCUCCCCGGCAGGCGCCGGCCCCGCGCGCCUCUUCCUGCUCUGCUGCGGCCCGGAGGCUUGUGGGUAACCGGGAGGACGACGUCAGCGCCCGCCGCAUCCCCGGGUGCCCCCCAGCCGCGGGGGACCGCGACGGCUCCGUGACCGUCACGUGCCGGAGGCCGCGGCUGCUCGCGGCCAGACCUUCGCAUCGAGGGACGUGAGGGACAUUUGUCCUAGAGGGCCCAAGAUAAGAACGAGAGGAAGAACCGGGAGGCAACUCUCCGUCAUCCUCUAGCCCCCCGCAUCCUAGGAAACGUAUGGAAAACAAUGGAAGGUUAAGUGUGUGCACAGUGAUCUGGCCCUGCAGGAGUGUGCCGACCAGGUGAUAUUUCCUGGGGCCUGGUGAUAAGGAUUUGGAAGGUUACAGCACAGAGACGUGAACGUAAAAAGGAAACAGAGGCAGCAAGCAAAUGAGGAAACCGAUACUCUGUUCUGAGAAUAAAGCCAUUUUACCGC